rnacentral:rRNA from 1 species
UACGUAGGGGGCGAGCGUUAUCCGGAAUUACUGGGCGUAAAGCGCACGCAGGCGGUUCGCCAAGUUUGGAGUGACAGUUGUCGGCUCAACCGACAAAGGACUUCAAAAACUGGUGAACUUGAGGACGAGAGAGGAACAUGGAACUCCAGGUGUAGUAGUGAAAUGCGUAGAUAUCUGGAAGAACACCAAUGGCGAAGGCAAUGGUUCUGGCUCGUUUCUGACGCUCAGGUGCGAAAGCCAGGGGAGCGAACGGG